CUGUGCUCCACUAGUCCUAGCUGGAUCGUGGACAUAUUACCAUCAUUACAAAUAUCAAUAGUUUGUGAUUACUUCAAACAAUCUGAAGUUGAAGGACCCCAGAUAUCCUUCAAAACAGGAAUCUGCAGGCAGAUGCUGAAACCAUGAAUACAGAGGGACAACUAUGUCCACAAGAUAUAAUGCUGAGAAAGGCUAAUAAAUCAAGCCAAUCUAAUGUCUAAAUACAGAAUAGAAAAAUGUGUCUUCUAAUUUACUUUAAAAUGAUGACUGGAUGAAUACGUAACCACUGCUCUGAAUGGAAGACUUCGACUGGAAGACUUUUUCACAUGACCCAGGGAAAGGCACAAAGAAACAAAGCUUGUGAUGCUCUAAAAUAAUCAAUUCAUUUGGCCAACACCAUGCACAGAAUGGAAAGCUUUUGCCUCAUUUUUCUUCCCCCCGCCUUCAGAUUUUCAAAGUGUUUUAUAAAAGCAAGUGCUAAUAAACUGUGGCAUUAACUAGAGAA
ensembl:lncRNA LINC01491 long intergenic non-protein coding RNA 1491